GGCGAACGGCUGAGUAACACGUGGGCAACCUGCCCUUUGCACUGGGAUAGCCUCGGGAAACCGAGGUUAAUACCGGAUACUCCAUAUUUGUCGCAUGGCGAAUAUGGGAAAGCUCCGGCGGCAAAGGAUGGGCCCGCGGCCUGUUAGCUAGUUGGUGGGGUAGUGGCCUACCAAGGCAAUGAUGGGUAGCCGGGUUGAGAGACCGACCGGCCAGAUUGGGACUGAGACACGGCCCAGACUCCUACGGGAGGCAGCAGC
rnacentral:rRNA from 1 species